GGCACCGGCGUGCUGUCCCUGGACGGCGGGCGAGGGCGGCCAAUCCGGGGUGCUCCGCGGGCGCCGAGCUCGUUGUCGGGGCUACCCAAAUCCAGAUUCCAUGUAUCUAACUUUUCUGACUGCGAGGUUCCUGAAGGGUCACGACCAGCUCUGCAGAAGUAACAGCUGGGAGUCAAGAACACUGAUUCCACCCUGUAACACCCCCGCAGCUCACCUGCCUCAAAUCCACGACUCCUGAUUCUCCAGCCCAUCAAUGGAUUUCAAGCCCUCACCGUUUUCUAUCUGGACCCUUGAAACAGGUGUGAUGCUUGGAAACUGGUCUUCCCAGCUUCUCCUACCACCUCUUUGUGAACUUUAUUUUAUGCCAACAUUAUGGUUCUGAAAUACUUAAGAAAGAACUAAAGGGAAGUACAAAGUACUCAUAGCAGUCACCACUAGAUGAUGGCAACAUGGAUUUUAAAAUUUUCUUCUUUAUACUAUUUACUGAAAUAAACAUAAUAUUUAAUUUAAAAAAUUGAAUAAAAAGGGACACGUAUAUUACCCUUAAAAUGUUUGAGAGAGGCACAUCAUUCUAAGCUAAAGGUAACAAGAAAGUCACUUGAAGUCUCUGAAUUAUUCAAGCACUCGUUUUAAUUCACCGAGCAAACCCUGAUACUCAAGUGGGCAAUCUCUGUGUCUUUGGUCACAAGUAGCUCUAGGUCUCACAUGGCCUCCACUUCACAGAUCCAUCGGCAAGGACAAACACACCAGAUGGUGUGGCUCA